rnacentral:rRNA from 1 species
CGAACCUUCGGGUUAGUGGCGGACGGGUGAGUAACGCGUGAGAAUCUGCCCUCAGGAGGGGGAUAACAGUUGGAAACGACUGCUAAUACCCCAUAUGCCGAAAGGUAAAACUAAUUUCGCCUGGGGAUGAGCUCGCGUCUGAUUAGCUUGUUGGUGGGGUAACGGCCUACCAAGGCUUCGAUCAGUAGCUGGUCUGAGAGGACGAUCAGCCACACUGGGACUGAGACACGGCCCACACUCCUACGGGAGGCAGCAGUGGGGAAUUUUCCGCAGUGGGCGCAAGCCUGACGGAGCAACGCCGCGUGAGGGAUGAAGGCCUUUGGGCUGUAAACCUCUUUUCUCAAGGAAGAAGAUCUGACGGUACUUGAGGAAUAAGCCACGGCUAAUUCCGUGCCAGCAGCCGCGGUAAUACGGGAGUGGCAAGCGUUAUCCGGAAUUAUUGGGCGUAAAGCGUCCGCAGGCGGCCGUUUAAGUCUGUUGUCAAAUCGUAGAGCUCAACUCUAUCACGGCAAUGGAAACUGUUCGGCUUGAGUAUGGUAGGGGCAGAGGGAAUUUCCGGUGUAGCGGUGAAAUGCGUAUAUAUCGGGAAGGACACCAGUGGCAAAAGCGCUCUGCUGGGCCAUUACUGACGCUCAUGGACGAAAGCUAGGGGAGCGAAAGGGAUUAGAUACCCCUGUAGUCCUGGCCGUAAACGAUGAACACUAGAUGUUGGGGGAAUCGACCCCUUCGGUGUCGUAGCUAACGUGUUAAGUGUUCCGCCUGGGGAGUACGCACGCAAGUGUGAAACUCAAAGGAAUUGACGGGGGCCCGCACAAGCGGUGGAGUAUGUGGUUU